rnacentral:rRNA from 1 species
AUGAAAGUUGGUGCUCUUCUGACCUCUGCUGGAAUCAACAUUGGUCUCUGUAUACUUUUUCUGUCAUUCUAUUCCGUUCUGAGAAAGCAGCCGCAGAAUGUUAAGGUCUAUUUUGGGAGAAGGAUUGCUGAGCAGCAUAAGCGGCUCCGAGGGGCUUUUAUUUUGGAGAGAUUUGUUCCAUCCCCUAGCUGGAUUGUGAGAAGUCUGCAAUGCACGGAAGAUGAGAUCCUAUCUACUGCUGGGUUGGAUGCAGUUGUUUUCAAUAGAGUUCUAGUAUUUAGCAUACGCAUAUUCUCAUUAGCUGCCAUUCUUUGUUUAUUUGGAGUUCUCCCCUUGAAUUAUUUUGGACAAGAUAUGCAGCAUGAACAGAUUCCUUCAGCAUCAUUGGAGACAUUUACAAUAGGAAAUAUGAAAGAGAAAUCAAUAUGGCUCUGGGUCCAUUGCGUCGUGCUGUACAUCAUAUCUGGUGUAGCUUGCUUUCUUCUAUAUAUGGAAUACAAGCAUAUUGCUAGACUGAGGUUGCUUCAUCUUGUUCGAACAACGACCAACCGUAGCCAAUUUACUGUCCUUGUCCGUGGGAUACCAAAGUCAACUCAUGAAUCAUUCAACAGCGCUGUUGAGAGUUUCUUUACAUCGUACCAUGCACCGAGUUACCUAUCCCAUCAAGUUGUUUAUAAAGUUGGUAAACUUCAGAAGAUAGUGACGGGUGCAAAGAAGGUUUAUAGGAAGUUCAAGCAUUUUAAGGGUACCACAGUCGAUCAGACAUGCAGAUCCGUGACAUAUCGAUGUUGUCUUUGUGGGGUGUCAUCAAAUUCGUUCCAGUUGUUGCCCACUGAAGAGCAAGAAAGGGAAAAACCUUGUGUGAAAAAUUCAAACUUGAACUUACCUGCCGAGGAAUGUGCUGCUGCUUUUGUAUUUUUCAAAACGCGGUAUGCAGCGCUAAUUGUAUCCAAAAUUCUCCAGACAUCCAAUCCUAUGAAAUGGGUCACUAGUCUGGCCCCAGAACCUAAAGACAUGUACUGGUCAAAUCUUUGGUUACCGUACAAGCAGCUUUGGAUUCGCCGCAUAGCUACACUUCUUGGUUCUAUUGUUUUUAUGUUCAUUUUUCUUGUACCUGUGACAUUUAUACAAGGUCUAACUCAGCUGGAACAGCUGCAGCAAAGGCUCCCUUUCCUGAAAGGGUUAUUGAAAGGGAAAAUCAUGACCCAGCUAGUAACUGGAUACCUUCCCAGUGUGAUCUUGCAAAUAUUUUUAUAUACUGUCCCCCCAACCAUGAUGAUGUUUGCGACACUAGAGGGACCUAUUUCUCACAGUGAGAGGAAGAAAAGUGCCUGUUGUAAAGUAUUAUACUUCACCAUUUGGAAUGUCUUCUUCGUCAACGUCCUAUCAGGUUCUGCAAUUAACCAACUGAAUGCCUUAUCAAGGCCAAAGGACAUUCCAAUGGAGCUUGCCAGGGCAAUUCCUUUACAGGCUACCUUCUUUACCACCUAUGUUCUGACUUCAGGAUGGGCUAGUCUGUCGUCGGAAGUUAUGCAACUCUUUGGUCUAAUUUGGAACUUUGUAAGGAAAUAUAUUCUGAGAAUGAAAGAAGAUAGCGAUUUUAUCCUCUCGUUUCCGUAUCACACUGAACUACCAAAAGUUCUGUUGUUUGGACUAUUGGGCUUCACAUGCUCUGUGCUAGCACCUCUGAUCUUGCCCUUUUUACUACUGUACUUCUUUCUUGCCUACAUUGUGUACCGAAAUCAGUUCAUCAAUGUUUAUUGCACAAGAUACGAAACUGGUGGUCUAUAUUGGCCAAUUGCAUACAAUGCAACAAUAUUCUCUCUGGUGCUCACCCAGAUCAUCUGCCUUGGUGUCUUUGGCCUUAAGGAAUCCCCAGUAGCUGCAGGCUUCACCGUACCUCUUAUCAUCAUCACUCUUUUAUUCAACCAGUACUGUAGAAUGCGUCUUCUGCCAUUAUUCGGGACUUUCCCUGCACAGGUUCUGAUAGACAUGGACAGAGAAGACGAGCAAUCGGGCAGAAUGGAUGAGAUUCAUGAGGGCCUUCACGCCGCUUACUGUCAGUCCACCGACACGGAAUCGGCCGAUGACAUAUCUCUGGAAAGAGUUCAAGCUGUCAGUACAACAGAUGAAGAUGGCAGCGGCAGCUCAGGCGAACCUAGGGGCAAAGAAAGUGUCGGACAACCAGUAAGUGACUUGUCUCACCCGACACUGAAAGGGCUCCCCGUUGAGCGGCUACGGCGCGCGGUGAGAUCACUCGGUUUCAUGAUCAGAUUGCAGAAGAGAGGCGUAUCAGCGUAA